CGCAAUCAACCUCCGCCAACCAAUCGACCAGUGACUAACGCGUUUAACCGAAAGAAACAAAGGCACGCCAGGCGGUCCCGAUGGCCCGGGCCAUCAUGAUGACCACGGUGACGGGCGACGUGAGCGUACCACCGCCGGACCAACCACCGGCAGGUUCCGUAGGCACCGUCAGCCUCUAUAUCGUGUCGAAGUGGGUGUUCAAAGUGAGGAUCAAAGGCCCCGACGGUGGUAGCACAGGCUCUAGCGCUUAGCAGCCUUGAGCACGCUUCAAAAAAAACCGUGGCAAAUUGAACCGUGGGUUCCGCGCUCGCGCUAUCUUUCUCGUACUCCUCGAAUACCAAUACCAUCACUGCUUUCGUUUGUUCGAUUUUGGCGUCCUCUGCGUACGUGAAAGCCGCAAGGAUCGGGACAGUUCGAUCGAUCGCGGACUGCUUUGCAAAGGUAGAAUAGGGCAUAGAGGCCGGGUGUGCCGGAUUUAUUCGCCUUUUUUGGCGUAGUUACAGUAGGAUUACGGCGGUAUCUAGCGUGCCGAACCAUCAUCAUCAAACAACCUCUCCAACUAGACUACUACACUAUAUCAGCAAACAACCUUUCAAUGCUACUACUACUACUACUACUACUGCUACCACUUCUACUAAGAAUCCCCGGCUCCGGGCCAAUGGGGGAACCGCGCGUUUAUCGCCGCCUAUCCCAACAGUAUUGGUCAUAUCAAUUUGGCUGCAACGAUGGCAUCGUCACCGGCGCUCCCGCUCUACUCGAGCUGCUAUCCGACGCCAAACGGGUACCCGCAGAUCAACGGUGAGGUCGAUGCGCCGCUCGACUUCCGCAAGGUCGAAUCCUUACGCAGGUACAUGGCCACACCUCCUGGGGCAAUACGUUCGCGAGUGCAUAAGAAACGAUUCAUAUACAGUUACAGAUAUAUAUAUAUAGAUAUACACUAUAUAUAUAUGGACAUUUUUAUAGACAUUCACGCUGAUACUUAUACAUGUAUACAUAUCUGUAUAUAUAUAUAUAGAUAUAGAUAUAUUGCAAUAUCAUCCUGACCAAACAUCGGGUCAGGUCGCUUACGUGAUGAUCCGUGGUCCGUCUUCUAGUAGUGCUAGAGAGCACCUACUGCAACUCUGUGGUGUUGUGCAAGUUGAGCUUACCUACCUUCCUUAUCCUAGGCGCUCCAAACCGAC